GCAUGGCUAUCCAAAUAUAUACAACACCAAAGUACUUGACUAAUAACACAAGGGCAGUCCUAUACAUGCCAUUAGCAGAGUUCAACUAAAAGAGUACCAAAAGGGCUUUGAUAGUGUGGACGACUUCGACUUUGACAAUCCCGAGUCCGAUAGCUGACGAACCAAAAUCUAUAAAACAGAGAAUCAAAGAAACAGAAUA
rnacentral:lncRNA from 1 species